AUUAGAUACCCUGGUAGUCCGCACGGUAAACGAUGGAUGCCCGCCGUCGGCAUAUGAUGUCGGCGGCCAAGCGAAAGCGUUAAGCAUCCCACCUGGGGAGUACGCCGGCAACGGUGAAACUCAAAGGAAUUGACGGGGGCCCGCACAAGCGGUGGAGCAUGUGGUUUAAUCCGAAGCAACGCGAAGAACCUUACCAAGUCUUGACAUCUGGAUGACGAGGACUUAAUCGUCCUUUCUCUUCGGAGCAUCCAAGACAGGUGGUGCAUGGUUGUCGUCAGCUCGUGUCGUGAGAUGUUGGGUUAAGUCCCGCAACGAGCGCAACCCUUAUCCUCAGUAGCCAGCAGGUAAAGCCGGGCACUCUGGGGAGACUGCCGGGGAUAACCCGGAGGAAGGUGGGGAUGACGUCAAAUCAUCAUGCCCCUUAUGCUUAGGGCUACACACGUGCUACAAUGGGUGGUACAGAGGGCAGCCAAGUCGUGAGGCGGAGCUAAUCCCUUAAAGCCAUUCUCAGUUCGGAUUGUAGGCUGAAACUCGCCUACAUGAAGCUGGAGUUACUAGUAAUCGCAGAUCAGAAUGCUGCGGUGAAUGCGUUCCCGGGUCUUGUACACACCGCCCGUCACACCACGGAAGUUGGGGGCGCCCGAAGCCACUUAGCUAACCCUUUUGGGAAGCGAGUGUCGAAGGUGAAAUCAAUAACUGGGGUGAAGUCGUAACAAGGUAAC
rnacentral:rRNA from 1 species